rnacentral:tRNA from 1 species
CAUUAAGAAGCUUUUAUAGCACUAGCCUUUUAAGCUUGGGAGGGGGAUUUUAAUCCCCCUUAAUGAA